AUGGCUCAGGAUGAACGCUAGCGGCAGGCUUAACACAUGCAAGUCGAGGGGCAUCGGGAGUAGCAAUACUGCCGGCGACCGGCGCAAGGGUGCGUAACGCGUGAGCAACAUGCCCGUAUCAGGGGGAUAAUCCAUGGAAACGUGGUCUAAUACCCCAUAGUAAUUAUGUAAGGCAUCUUAUAUAAUUUAAAGCUUUGGUGGAUACGGAUUGGCUCGCGUGACAUUAGCUGGAUGGUAAGGUAACGGCUUACCAUGGCUACGAUGUCUAGGGGUUCUGAGAGGAAGGUCCCCCACACUGGAACUGAGACACGGUCCAGACUCCUACGGGAGGCAGCAGUGAGGAAUAUUGGACAAUGGAUGGAAAUCUGAUCCAGCCAUGCCGCGUGCAAGGAAGACGGCCCUAUGGGUUGUAAACUGCUUUUGUAUGGGAGCAAUAAGGGCUACGUGUAGUCCGAUGAGAGUACCAUACGAAUAAGCACCGGCUAACUCCGUGCCAGCCGCUGC
rnacentral:rRNA from 1 species